GCCAGUGUGCUGUAGUGGUUUGGGCACUGGACUAUGGCUUUGGAGGCCAGGGUUCAAAUCCCUGCUUGGCCA